AUAACAUAUAGUCAUAUUCUGUUUUAAAAUUGUUCAGUUUUACAAGUUAUUACACCUCGAGUCAUACUGCCUAGGUACUUCUUUGUGAGCGGCAAAUCAAAAAACACUUAAAGAAAAUCUAAUGCGUAAUCUUUCACAAAAAAAAGACACUAAAAUUCAUAAUAAUGGAUUUUGAAUUUUCAAUGGAAAAUAAAACAAGCAUAGUGGUUAUCUCCUGCGCUAUCUCAAAUAGCUCAGAUCGCUUCAAAAUUCGAAAACUUGAGGGUAGACCUUUAUUGUUACCCCUCAACUAAGAGGUAAGACCUAUGAAGAAUCAAAGCUAUUGUAGCUAUUAAAGAGAUAAAAAGAAUAUUCAGAUGUAAAACGAAAAUACGAGAUACAUGUCUUGACCAGUUGAAUAAGAGUCUAAAUAUUACGAAAAACAAUCUAAUACACGGGAAUGAUAUUUGCAUCAAAAAGAUUCUUAUCAGUUAUGUCUAUAGAUAAAGAUUGAUGAAUAAUCUAUGUUCAUAUUGUCAUUUUGAUUAAAGUCGGAUGCAGUUUCAAGUUUAACUCCUGCUAAAUUUAAAUAGGUUUUUAGAAAUCCGAAGGUGCUAGAAAUAUAAUGAUGCCGAAAGAAUCUAACAAAAAAAAAAAUAAAUAAAUGCUCCAGUACAUUUAUUUUAUACUAAUAGUCAGUCAACUAAAGAUCUAAUAUUUAAUUUUCAAAUUGAUUUAAUUGAUU